GAUGAACGCUGGCGGCGUGCCUAAUACAUGCAAGUCGAGCGAACAGAUAAGGAGCUUGCUCCUUUGACGUUAGCGGCGGACGGGUGAGUAACACGUGGAUAACCUACCUAUAAGACUGGGAUAACUUCGGGAAACCGGAGCUAAUACCGGAUAACAUAUUGAACCGCAUGGUUCAAUAGAGAAAGGCGGCUUUGCUGUCACUUAUAGAUGGUUCCGCGCCGUAUUAGCUAGUUGGUAAGGUAACGGCCUACCAAGGCUACGAUACGUAGCCGACCUGAGAGGGUGAUCGGCCACACUGGAACUGAGACACGGUCCAGACUCCUACGGGAGGCAGCAGUAGGGAAUCUUGCGCAAUGGGCGAAAGCCUGACGGAGCAACGCCGCGUGAGUGAUGAAGGUCUUCGGAUCGUAAAGCUCUGUUAUCAGGGAAGAACAAAUGUGUGAGUAACUGUGCACAUCUUGACGGUACCUAAACAGAAAGCAACGGCUAACUACGUG
rnacentral:rRNA from 1 species